rnacentral:rRNA from 1 species
AGUGAACGCUGGCGGUAGGCCUAACACAUGCAAGUCGAACGGCAGCACAGGAGAGCUUGCUCUCUGGGUGGCGAGUGGCGGACGGGUGAGGAAUACAUCGGAAUCUACUUUUUCGUGGGGGAUAACGUAGGGAAACUUACGCUAAUACCGCAUACGACCUACGGGUGAAAGCAGGGGACCUUCGGGCCUUGCGCGAUUGAAUGAGCCGAUGUCGGAUUAGCUAGUUGGCGGGGUAAAGGCCCACCAAGGCGACGAUCCGUAGCUGGUCUGAGAGGAUGAUCCGCCACACUGGAACUGAGAUACGGUCCAGACUCCUACGUGAGGCAGCAGUGGGGAAUAUUGGACAAUGGGCGCAAGCCUGAUCCAGCCAUACCGCGUGGGUGAAGAAGGCCUUCGGGUUGUAAAGCCCUUUUGUUGGGAAAGAAAUCCAGCUGGCUAAUACCCGGUUGGGAUGACGGUACCCAAAGAAUAAGCACCGGCUAACUUCGUGCCAGCCGCCGCGGUAA